rnacentral:rRNA from 1 species
UACGGGGGGGGCAAGCGUUGUUCGGAAUUACUGGGCGUAAAGGGCUCGUAGGCGGCCAACUAAGUCAGACGUGAAAUCCCUCGGCUUAACCGGGGAACUGCGUCUGAUACUGGAUGGCUAGAGGUUGGGAGAGGGAUGCGGAAUUCCGAGGUGUAGCGGUGAAAUGCGCAGAUAUCAGGAGGAACACCAGCGGCGAAGGCGGCGCUCUGGGCUGGAACUGACGCUGAGACGAGACGUGGGGAGCAAACAGGAUUAGAACCUACCGACGAG